UUGUUCUGACAUUUAAAAAGUCAUCUUGGGUUUAAAGAGGUUGGAGACCACGGACCUAGAUGAAUAGCCUUAAAUAUUGGUUGGGCACAGUCUUAAGGAGCAGCUGCAGUACAGCAAGCUGCAGAACAGAAAAAAACGAAUCAGGUAUUUGAUGGAAACAGCGAUAUCAAACAAUGGCAGAUUGGGAGCUGGGUAAUGGUUCAAGUCAAACCCGUACCUAAGAAAAAAAAUUCCCAAAGAGGGAAUGGCAUGGACCCUGGCCAAUUCUAGACAAACUGGGACCCUCUUUGUAAUUGAUUGAAAUAGAGGAUCAGCCUUGAUGGAAACAUGCUGUCAUGAUUAUGAGGGUUAGCCAGCAGCCUGGGGAUUAAGGGGUUAACUACACCUAGCCAGGUGGAGUGACCAAUAAGAAUGUAGGUGGGAUUUUUCAAACUGGGACAAAGGAAUUUGGGUUUUUCCUUUGUCCUUUUGUCUCUCUGAGAGUUCUCUGCAGCUACAGAGAGGGACAAGCAUGUCUCUCUCUCUCUCCAAGACACCAUUCUUCAUUUUCUAGUAACGAUACAAGAUAAGCAGUCAAGGGUCGGAUACCAGCAUGGAUAUGGAUGCUGUUGAAUGCAGUGUGGAUGAUCCACCACACAGAGGGACUCUCUGAUACCACCCAGAUUAACCAGACCUAUGAAGCGGUCUGGAAUUUAUGGACUGAGACCCUACGGACUGCCACUAUGAUACAGGCAGCAAACCAAACCCAUCCAGUUGGGACUGUUUUAAAGUUGGUGUGUGAAGCAGAAGGAAGGCAACAAGCCAACAAUAUCCACAGAGCCACACCACCUGAUCUUAAGAUGGCCUGGGGGUGUAUAGUUGCAAAUAUGAGCCAAGUUCAUGAAAUUCCUGUCCAAAAAAUUGAUGAGAGCAGAUGACGAAUUGUAAAAACUAACUUAUGUUUGCUGUUGGAUGGUUGACAAUGUUCGUAAUUGUGAUUGGUCUAUUGUUUUUACUGUGAUUUUUAGAGACAGGUUCCAGUAAUACCUCCAAACACCUCCUGAACAGGCAUACAUACCAAAUAAGAAAUAUAGAAGGGAAACUCCAAAGAUGGAGCAAGUCUAAGUGGCACCAAAUCGAAUAGUGGAAAUACACAUAGCAUUGUGGGUAGGGGAGACCCUCAACUUACUCUGUGAUGUUCAAGCAUGUGCACAUGUAGUUCCUAGGGUGGCAUUGGAUUGGUAUUGCGCUGCGGACCCUAUAAUUAGCCACCUAGAGGGAAUCACAAAAACAUAGGGGGACUGGAAAUACCAAGUACAACUUAUUAAUUUAUAGAAACAACAAACUGACAUGGCAAUGUGUGAGCUCAUGAUUUCUGCAAAAGGCUUGAGUGGGGUUGUGGCAGCAGGGUUCUGCAUUUCUCCAUUCCACUCCCCUGUGAGAUGGUAGAAGAGAGUCUUGUGUCAUAUCCCUCUGAUAGGGGGCAGAAGACAGAAAGCCUGUAGUUCCUCAUCCUUCAGCUGAUCAAGGUCUUCCUGUUCCUUAGCUUAUUGGUCCCUGUUUUGGCCCAUAAGAAAGAGGGAAACUUAUGCCUCUUUGCCACCAAGUGUACAGCUCUGCUUGUAGGUCCAGCAUAACUUGAAUUCAUUAGAUGGGGUGCUGUUCCAGCACUGAUUUAAAAAAAAAUUGUGUAAGGGUGAAAUUAAUUAGGGUACGAGUUUUAUCUAGUGGUAGUAUCUUUAAAUCCAAGCAGCGGUGAGCACCUAGCCAACAAGAGACUAGGGGGAUUUGGGUAAGGAAGGAGUAGAAGUUCAGGGCAGUGGGUGUAUUUCACCCACAUUAAGUGGGUUAACCCUAUGCUUAGUAGGUGCAGGGUUUUUAAGACCUGCUAAUAGAUUGAGACAGAUUAUGUACACCAUAGUAACAGUUAAGCAGAAACUGCCAAGUUAAAAAAAAACAAAUGUUCAGUUCUUGACUUGAUACUGUUAUUUGAAUACCCCAGCCCCUGACAUUUACCUUUUUUCUUAUUCCACUACAGAGCUCCCUAUGGUAAAAGUAAUAGCUGGCAAUUCAAGAUUAAGAGAAAAAACAUGUUUAUUAACCAGGUUUUUGCACUGGAUUAUGCACCAAUUGGCCCAAUCUGCUAGAUAACAUCUAGACAUGGUUUCUUUCAUGUUUCACGAGUUGAAAAUAACUGUACAAGGUUAAAGUACACAAGAUAACAGACACAAAAUAGCCAUUUAUGAGUUUACCUCAGCUGCUGCUUUGUUUGAAAAAGUAGAAUUGUAACUAAAAAAUAUUGUUCUCCUAUAGUUCUAUCACGUUUAAUGGAAGCGGGUACCUGAUUACAACACUAACACCAGCAUCACUGAUCUCAUAUUUACAGAAAAAUUGUACUUUUUCAAUACAUUAAAGUCAAUGCAACACCCAUGCAAGCUAGAAUACUAGCUUUUUGGUGAACAAGGACCCAACCUCAGAACAGAAAUCAUCCACAAAGUCCCAGACUU